AGAUCCUGAGAGAUCAAGUGGUGGACGUCCAGAGAGGAGAGAUCCUGAGAGAUCAAGUGGUGGACGUCCAGAGAGGAGAGGUGAGUUAGACAUUGUCACACAUUGCAGACAGUAGACUUUGUUGCUUUACUUAUGUGUUUCUUGUGUUUGAUGUUUCAUAUCCUGAGAGACCAAGCGGUGGACGUCCAGAGAGGAGAGGUGAGUUAGACAUUGUCACACAUUGCUGCUUUAUUCAUGUGUUUGUUUUUUUCAGAUGCUGAGAGACCAAGCGGUGGACGUCCAGAGAGGAGAGAUGCUGAGAGAUCAAGUGGUGGACGUCCAGAGAGGAGAGGUG